GUGGCUCAGUUUAACACACAGCUUAAGUUGAGGUUUGGUUAACCUGUCAAUAUAUCAUGUCACUGGAUUUAUGAAGGGAAGAAAAAAGUGCAGAACCAAUGAAGGCAUCAAAGACAAGCUCAUCCGUAGUCCCAAGGGUCUUUCAAGAGGUGAUUGAGUUCAAAUGAGACCAUCAGGGUAUGACCCUCAUUCAGUGUGUUGAGUGUCUUAGAAGAGGAGGAAGAGACAUCAGGGGCCCACAUGAUGCACAGAAGACAGCCACCUCCAAGCUGGAGAGAGAAGCCUCACAGAAAAUCACCUUGUUCUUGGACUUCCAGCCUCCAGAACGAACACUUAAAAUGACACAUGUAGACACAUUCUAUUUCUAUCAGACACCACUGAUAAAGAAGAAAAAACGAGGCACAAGAAUGUUUGAAAGUGACUUGCUCUGGAUUCACAGAGGGUCAGAAUGGAAAUCAGUGUCUGACAACCUGGGCAGGAGUCUGAUCAUUCCUCCAGGGAGACAGGACUGGCACUGCUUGGCAUGAUCCUUUGAGAACAUCUCCCCAGCACUGAGAUCUUCACCCACCACUUUGUUUCUCCUGAGAAGGAAGUAUGGGAAGAUGAAGUCAGCUCAGAGGAUGAACAAAAAGUUGUAAUCCUGUGUGAAUCUUGAAGGCUCACUGAAAGCUACUACAUCCUAGAGAGACCCGCUGGCCCGUCCUUGUGGGAGAGGAUCUCUGAGGCUUCUCCGUGGACCAUCUGAAGAUGCUCGACACUGGCUGUAGUUGUCUGACUGGGCAGUGCCAUUACUAUUGGGUUAUUACAAGAUAUGGAAUAUAAGUCCUGUGCUAUACAGAAGAACAAAAUACAACACCGUUUUCUUUACGGCAGAAUACACGGCUCUUCUCCUCUGGUGCCUGCCCUGAAAGGAACAACAGAAGUUUUCCUCUCCAGAUUCACUGAAAAGGAAAGCAAGAAGAUACCUGCCCACUUGGGCCUGAAAUGAGAAUCGUUUUCCCGUUGCCAUCUGCUCUACUGUGGGUCGCACACACACGUUCACGGAGCCCCCACUGGCCUCAUGCCUCCACUGACAUCUGAGAAAAGUAAUACUAUCUUUACAUGGACUUUAUACUGUGCUCUUGCCUUUAAGAGUCCAGCCAACCGGAGAAUUCUCUCAUGCCUGAUUCUGCAAUACUUUUCCUUCCCCUCCUGCCUCCUUUUCUGAGAUGACAGAAACUUACCCAGCUGCUAGUCCACCUGCUCAGAGGCACGGGUGACUUCCAUAUGCCAAAGAGCAGCUGUCAGUCAAUGGAAAAGGUGACAAGCCUCUGUGAGGGCAGAGGCCACGGCAGCAGGGGCCACAGCAAGAUGCUGGGUGAGGAGCUUCCAGGAGGAGAAAAGUUGCUCCCCAUCCUCCCAAAGACUUCCCAUCCUCAGCUGCCUUUCCAGGAAAGUAAAAUCUGAAGCAUACGCUGCAUAAUGUUCCUAAAAACCACAGAUACUCUUCUAGCCAUUUCUUCUCAGGAUGCCAGGCUCCUGGCUCCCACAGGCAAUGACACAUCUCCUCCACUGCACCUUGAGACCUCCCUGGGGCAUCAUCAGUGAAGUUCAUGGGUGCUAUGGAAAGAGUUAGGAGGUCUGGUUCUAAUUCAUACAUCUCUUCACCUCUUCGUAGCCUCAGAGAAAUCAUCUUUAAUGUGAAGGAAAUAGACUAGAUGUCUCGAAGGACCUUUCUAGACCAGGGGCUGUUCUAACAUUGAGUGAGUGAGAAAGAGUGCUUUAGACUCUGCUGAAUGAGCGAAGGUACCUGCCCUUGGGUGCUUAACCUGGACUGAGAAUGCAACACGGGAAGUGACCAAUACAAAGGGAGAUGAUGAAACAGAGGAGUGGUGAAGCCAUAACAGUUUCAGCCCUAUUCAGGAUUUUAAGUCCGUACUGAGGAAGCUCCUGGAAGAGAGAGUGCAUCAAUUUAGUCAACCGAAACUUAAUUCAAGAAAUGCAGAAGAAAGGAGAAGGGAGAUGCUGAAAAUUUACACCAUCAUUUUCUAGAAAUGUCCUCAUUGUCCUAUGGAGACCUGGGGGAGAAGGUAUGAAAAAGGCAAAGGAUGGAAAUGUCUAAAAUGAUUUGCACAUAAAUUAAAGGUAACAUUUGUGUGUAAGGUAAGAAGCUACAACCCGAUUGUGAAUUAGGACAAUUUUAAGAGUAGGUGAUAUAUUGACUGUAGAUUUGCUUCUGUGGAAACUCUUCUCUCCAUGAAAGUCUCUGCAAAUACUGUUCCACAUCCAGAGCAUUAGAGCUGGUAAGACAUUAGACAUCACCUGGGCCAGACUAUCAUCAUACAAGAAAAGAAACUGAGACCAGGCCCUCAGCGGAAAGUCACUAGUCUUCAGUCUUAUAGUGGAUUAGUGACAGUUUCCUGGUUCUUAAGCCAAAGCUUUUUCAGUCUGUCAAGCUGAACUUUCAGUUUCAAGGAUAAAGUCUCCUGCCAGGGAGCAGGUUUUCAGCUCUGCUCAUUUUUAAAAUAUUAUUUGUUGUCUUUUUCUAUCUAUAAGAAACACUUACUUUUAGUUGAAUAUCUAGAAUAUAUAAAAACUCAUAAAGGAGAAAAUUGGUUACCCACCACCCAGAAAAAAAUUAUAUUUGAUGUGUUUCCUUUUGAUGCCUUUUCCUAUGCUACUAAACUGUAAACUCCACAGUGGCAGGAACUGAAUUAAUCUUGUUUGGCUCAGUACCCUCAGCCCUUAGCACAGUGUCUGGUACAUAAAAUGCACUUGAUCCCUGCUUAUUGAAUACAUGACUCACAUAAAUAUACAUAUUUAUGUACAUGUGCGAAUAAUUAAUGUUUAUGUAAUUUUUAAAAAUGAAGCCAUACUGUUAUACACUUAAUACUGUUUUUUCACUUAAUAUUGUAAUGUAAAUAUUUUCCCCAUCUGUAAAUAUCCUCCUAUAAUAAUAUUUUAAUAGCUGCAUAACUUUCCAUUGUAUGGUUAAACCAUGACUUAUUGACUCAUCUCCAAUCAAUGCACAUUUAGAUCAUUUCCAAAUUAUUCUGAAUUAUAAACAGUACUACGAUAAAUGCCUCUGGAAAUGAAUCUGAGUGAGAAUCAGUCUGGGGGAAGUUGAGUCUACCUUCCGUUACUAAUAAAAGAAGUUUGGGCUGGAAAGUGACAGGAAGUUGACAGUCUGUGGUCAUCUUAUCAGCCUCUUGUAUGUCAUCUGACUCAGCUUCCCUUCCAAAUCACAAGCCUCAGGUCAGAACUACCAGUCUCUGAUGGUCAAUUUAAAUUUUAUCUCAGUCAUGUCUUCCAUGAAAAAGCCAUCCCAUGCACAUGGGAUAAAGAGCAUUUUAGAGUUGAUUUUAUCAGUCUCACCCUUAGCCAAAGAGCACUAAAAUAUAAAGUGCCCUCCUCUCCCUAGACAAGUUCAAAAUACAUAUCCCACUGGGAAAGUGACUUUAAAUUCAAGAAAAAUAGAACAGGUGGCCCAAAUCCAAACUUAAGUAACAGAUUUGUUUUCCUAAUGAAAUCUGUGCACAUGAGUUCCCUGAAUGACCCUCACUUGACUGAACAUUUUUUAUGAUUGCAUAUUACAUAUAUUAUACAUCCACUGACAUUCAGCAACCUAUGAGUUCAGACUGCCUCUUUAUUUUCCCCUUUGGCUGAGCCAAAGCAGACCAAAGCAGAUCCUUCAAUGGCCAGAAGUUUCUGUUCGAAGAUACAAAAGGGAUCUUCAUGGUACCCUUUGAUGUUCUGCUCUGAGCACUAAGAGAAAGUGCUCUUCUUCUAGGGAAGAAGCAGGAGGGGAACGUUCCUUCCUCACCUUUCUCUUGCUGGUAUCUGAGCACCAGCAAGGGGCAGAGUGGGAGCAGCAGAGAAAAUACGGGGACAGUGGCAGGAAAUGAGGUUGAAGAGCAGCCAGGGGUCAUAUCAUGCAGGACGGGGUAGACAGUGGUACUUGGGAACGUGAUCCCAACAUUAAAAACAACAGGGCUUAUUUGGGAGAGAGGGAGGGGAGGUCUAGACAAGCUAAUCAUGAAGUUAAGAUGGAAAAAAUUUGAAGCUAGGUUAUCCAGAAAUAUUUGAAAUUGGAGAACAAUGGAGGAAGAUUUGCCCUACUAAUCUUCACGUUAAAAUAUGAAGCCACAAGAAAUAAAAUAAUGUAAUAUUAGUACAUUAAUAAGAAGACAGAACAAGAUAACAGGCCUAAAAGUCCAGAAAUAGGCCUAAACAUAAUUUUUAAAUGAUUUUUUAAAAUAUGACCAAAUGGUACUUCAAGUCUGGGGAAAAAAUUUACCAUACAUAAAGACUAACUUCACUAAAAUCACUAAAAAGAGGCAUCAGUAUUAAAAAAAAAAGAGCAAAAAAUAUCAACAGUUCACAAAAAAGGAAAUCCAAAGGGCUCUUAAAUACAGAAAAAGACAUUCAAAAGAAAUGAAAAAGAAAAACACAGUAAGAUAUCAUUUUUCAGCUACUGGAUUGGCCAAGAUCAAAGCACUGAGGACUGACUACAUUGGUGAACUUGCCAGUCACUUGCCUAGUUUGCUCUCAAAUCCAUUCCCAGCCCCCUCCUGCCCUGCUGAUUUUACCAUGUACCCUACAACCCAGAAGCAUCAGGCAGGAUGGUCUGCUGGAAGCUCAACUGUGGUCUGGCUGUAAGAUCAUACCCUGCACGGGUGGGAUACUGUCCUAACAGGAUGCAGUAUCCAUGUUGGACCAGUAACAUGUAUACUGCAUCCUGUGUGGUUUCUCCCACGGUUGGAAUCCACGCGGCCAGGAGCAAAGGGAUAGAAGAGUGAUUCUUCUCGCUACACCUAGUGGCCCAUUCACAGAAUGCUUCCAGUCCUCUGACCAUGGGUUCUGCCCAGUUAGGAGUAUUGAUUCCCAAGAGGUGAGUGCAUCCACGGGGACACAGCAGUGGUUCCACAGAACUGGAAGCUGAGGCUACCUUCAGGCUAUUUUGCCACUGAACCAAUAGACAGAGGAAGCGGUUAUCAUAUUUCUGAGGAGAAUAAUCUCCAUCACCCAGAGGAAGUUGGGUUGCUGGUACCCAGUGAAGCAGGGAAGUCUGUGUCUGGAACUGAAGGGACUCUCUGCGGUGCCUUUUAGUAUUUAAUGACCAAUAGUAAAAAAAAAAUCAAUGGAAGUCACUGCACCCAGUAAAGGCAGGACUAUAUUAAAAAAUCAGACCCUUUGGGAAUAGAUUCGAGUCACUUCACCUGGUGAAGAUUCCCAAAUAGCCAAGUGCUGGCAGAGGACAAAAGGAAUGUGGAGUGAGUAGCAGAAGUGAUAAAUAUCAACUUCAGCCUUAUAGCCAGUUGCAGACAUGAAGACUGAACAGUGGUACCUGCUUUUAUAGAUAAGGAUUAACCAGUUAUUUCUUUUUUCAUUUCCCCCCUUUCCCUGAUGAUUUUGUGUGAGGAAUUUCCCUGGUGGUACUGAAGUUUACAAUCAGAAGAAUGACAUCCAGACAGACCUGAAUGGAUCCAGAUCCUAGGCUGUCGAGAUGUGUUCACUCUACACUUCUUACAAGAGACAUGCCUAAAAUAUGCAAAUGCAUGGAGAGAGAGGAGAGAAAGUUGGAAACAAGUGGAUGGAAAGUAUUUAUUAUGAAAAAACUCCAUUAAAAGCAUACUAAAGAGAUUACCUAAAAGGACAGAAAGGCACAGCACGGGAGGACACAGACGGAUGAAUGAUAACUGACUCGGCAAACCUGCCACAGCCAGAUCCUCAACUGGCAGUGGUCAGAGUGGUGAAGAAACCUGGUUUUCAGAGUUGCAACCUCAUGGGCUCAGACACUGGCAGCACUGGGUAACUCCAGAAUUAGGAAGAAAGGAGGUAUUAAAUUAAGGAGGAUUUGGUGAACGCUGUUUGGGAAACAGUUAAUUCCUAGAGUCCUCCUGUACUCCACAUGGCAUAUAACCACCCUGGAAGAUAAUCAGAAAGUCUUCUGGACUGGGCGCCACCAAGACACAGUUGAAGGUCUGGGUGUCUGCUAUGAUCUGAAUGUUUAUGUACCCCUCUCCAAAUUCCUCUGUUGAAACCUAACCCCCAAGGUGAUGUGGGGCUUUAAGGAGCUGAUGUGGUCAUAAGGGUGGAGCCCUCAUGCAUGGGAUUAGUGCCCUGAUAAAGAGACCCCAGAGAGCCCCCUGCCCCUCCCACCUCGUGAGGACACCACGAGAAGAUGCCCUUCAGUGGGGAAGCAGGCUCUCACCAGACACUGACUCUUCUGGUGUCUUGAUCUUGGACCAGCCUCCACAACUGUGAGAAAUAAAUGUUGUUUACAAGCCACCCAGUUUAUGGCAUUUUUAUUAGAGUAGCACGAGUGGAUUAAAAUAGUAUCUGCCCCAAAGAGGGAAAUUGUCAUAUGUAACUGGAUGCUGAAUACUGAGAUCUCAGCCCUCUUCCCCCAGUUGGUUUAGACAGGAACUUGUAAAAUUUAUCUCCAGGAAAUCUGAUAGCCCAAGAGGAAAGGUCUAAAAAGACUGACGUCAGUCAGUUUCCUUCCAAAAACAGUCCACCUUGAUCACUCCACAGUGAAGAUCCACAUUGGCCAGCCUCAUCAUUCUCUCAAUACUUCCAACCAGCUUUUAAAUCUCCUACUCUUAAGUAUGUGCAGAUUGCCGAGGACCGCUUUAUCCAGAAAGGGUUCUUAAAAAUUCUCAAGAAAUCUGAAUCCACAGCGUGACUUAAAGACUAUUCAGUGGAUCGUCUCUGGCAGGGCAACUACUGCUUUUUCUUCACACAGCUUGCUUUGGACUGGCUAACGGUUUUGAAACACCUACUUUUAAAACAUACUUACUUGGGAUACAUAUAUAGGUUUUAAAGCUAUAACGAAACAGAGCGAUGCAUUUCUGGGAGAAGGACUGGUGCAGUGAGGAAGAUGCGCACCACGGAGAGCUGGUCUCCACUUGUACCCCACGCACACCCCACCUCUGCCCUUCACUGUGCUGCUCGGAGCCCUGGGGAGGCCAGCCCCUACAGACUGCAUCCCCAGGACACCAGUGCCCUCCAGCUCCCCUUUGGGUUUGACCAAUGGGAAGUAACAGCAGAAGAAUGGAAGGCAGAAGAGAGACGUGGAGAUCUUUAUUCCCCAACCCACCUAUUUUGGCAUCAUCUGUCAGAGGCUCCAUCUGUCCACAACUGUAACUCUUGUGGGGUGGUCCCUCUUCCUCAGUCCUAGGUCUCACCCAGACUCCACCAACACUGUCCCCUACCCUUGCCUACACAGGUGGAACUGGACCAGCAGGAGAAAGUAGUCCUUUGACAAAAAAAAAAAAAAAAAAAAUCUGGGGGAACUGGUGAUCUUUAUGAAAAACACAAUAAAAUUAAAAUCCCUAUAUCACACCACACACAAAAAACUAUUCCAGGUCAAUUAGAAACCUAAAUUAAUGUUGGAGGCCCUAUAAAGCUUAAUGAAGAAAAUGUAGAAUAAUCUAUUUAUGACCUCUGGUGAGGAGUAGGAAGAUUUUCUUAAAAAGAAUAAGGAGAAAAUAACAAACCAUUAAUGUAUAUUUUACUAUAUUAAAAUAUAAAUUUUUUUGUUCAUCAAAAGAUACAUAAACAUAGAAGACAAGGCACAGUCUGGGAAGAUAUUUGCACCACUUAAAACUAACAAAGGAUUGUGUCCAAAUUAUGUGAAGGAUUCCUGCAACUGAACAAAAGACAAACAUACCACAGAAAAAGAGGCAAAAAUGUCGAAAGAGGCAGGAAGAAAACCAAAAAUAAGCAUAUGGAAAACAUACUCAACAGCACUGAUAAUUAGGGAAAUGCAAAUUAAGACAGCAGUGAGAUACCCUCAGAUUGGUGAAAAAUGUUAAUGUAAAAGAAAUGAGCUAUCAAACCAGGAAAAGACAUGGUGGAACCUUAAAGGCACACAUUACUAAGUGAAAGAAGACCAUCU